GCUCGGGUCGUCACCCACGUGAGGAUUGUCGGUUCCCCCUGCUAUGCUGAAGCCCAGGCCUGAGUUCCCCUACAGUAGCAAUUACAAGUUGGAAUUCCAAACAAGAAUCCGUUGACAAUUACCUUACUUGGGUAAAUAUGAGAGAAGAUAUUCACAUGCACCGAGACACUGAAUUAGGACACCGUGACAUCACACAACCAUCAAAAAGAUGACCUCAUCCUUGCUUACAGAUGAAUAUCUUGGAAUGGUGGAUCAUUAUGUCAUAUUAAUCUGUAAGAGACCUGGGCCAAAACCAGAUUGAAGAAAAUGACAGGAAACGAGCACACAUGCAAGUCUGGACAGUGAUGACAGAGCAUGACAACAUUCGGGCUUUCCCUACAGGCGCAGCCAACACAUACAGUAAGGAAUCCAUCAUCUGGACCGCCAAGAUGUCGUGCAAGACCGCAUCGCACCUGAGGGACAUCUGGGAAGUGAGUAACAUUUGCAU